CACUCCUGCGGGAGGCAGCAGUGAGGAAUAUUGGACAAUGGGUGGAAGCCUGAUCCAGCCAUCCCGCGUGCAGGAAGACGGCCCUAUGGGUUGUAAACUGCUUUUAUCUGGGGAUAAACCUACUUACGUGUAAGUAGCUGAAGGUACCAGAAGAAUAAGCACCGGCUAACUCCGUGCCAGCAGCCGCGGUAAUACGGAGGGUGCAAGCGUUAUCCGGAUUUAUUGGGUUUAAAGGGUCCGUAGGCGGACUGAUAAGUCAGUGGUGAAAUCCGACAGCUUAACUGUCGAACUGCCAUUGAUACUGUUAGUCUUGAGUAAGGUUGAAGUGGCUGGAAUAAGUAGUGUAGCGGUGAAAUGCAUAGAUAUUACUUAGAACACCAAUUGCGAAGGCAGGUCACUAAGUCUUAACUGACGCUGAUCGACGAAAGCGUGGGGAGCGAACAGGAUUAGAAACCCCAGUAGUCCCAUG
rnacentral:rRNA from 1 species